rnacentral:rRNA from 1 species
AUUGAACGCUGGCGGCAUGCCUUACACAUGCAAGUCGAACGGCAGCACGGACUUCGGUCUGGUGGCGAGUGGCGAACGGGUGAGUAAUAUAUCGGAACAUACCUGGUAGUGGGGGAUAACUAGCCGAAAGGAUAGCUAAUACCGCAUACGAUCUAAGGAUGAAAGCGGGGGAUCUUCGGACCUCGUGCUAUAAGAGGGGCCGAUAUCUGAUUAGCUAGUUGGUGAGGUAAGGGCUCACCAAGGCGACGAUCAGUUGCUGGUCUGAGAGGACGACCAGCCACACUGGAACUGAGACACGGUCCGGACUCCUACGGGAGGCAGCAGUGGGGAAUUUUGGACAAUGGGGGCAACCCUGAUCCAGCAAUGCCGCGUGAGUGAAGAAGGCCUUCGGGUUGUAAAGCUCUUUUGUCAGGGAAGAAACGGUUGUGGCUAAUAUCCAUGGCUAAUGACGGUACCUGAAGAAUAAGCACCGGCUAACUACGUGCCAGCCGCCGCCGUAAUAC